UACAGAGGUCUCAAGCGUUGUUCGGAUUCAUUGGGCGUAAAGGGCGCGUAGGCGGCGGGGUAAGUCGGGUGUGAAAUCUCAGGGCUCAACCCUGAAACUGCACUCGAUACUGCUCUGCUUGAGGACUGGAGAGGAGACUGGAAUUCACGGUGUAGCAGUGAAAUGCGUAGAUAUCGUGAGGAAGACCAGUGGCGAAGGCGGGUCUCUGGACAGUUCCUGACGCUGAGGGCGCGAAAGGCC
rnacentral:rRNA from 1 species